rnacentral:rRNA from 1 species
GACAGAGGGUGCAAACGUUGUUCGGAAUUACUGGGCGUAAAGCGCGUGUAGGCGGCCGAGUAAGUCGGGUGUGAAAGCCCAGGGCUCAACCUUGGAAGUGCACUCGAAACUGCACGGCUGGAGUCUCGGAGAGGGAAGUGGAAUUCUGGGUGUAGAGGUGAAAUUCGUAGAUAUCCAGAGGAACACCAGUGGCGAAGGCGACUUCCUGGACGAGUACUGACGCUGAGACGCGAAAGCGUGGGGAGCAAACAGGAUUAGAUACCCGGGUAGUCC